UAUAUUUGAGUGUUUAAGCAUUUAAAAUUUUGAUUUUUAAGGAAUUGAUUAAUUUUCAAUUAAUAUAA
rnacentral:tRNA from 1 species